rnacentral:misc_RNA from 1 species
AAAAAGUGCUGUCAGUCGAUCGACUACCUAAGGCUAAGUACCUUGACAAUCUUGCGUGUCAUAAGUAAAAUAAGAUGACUGCGGUCGACGUUUUUGUUGGAAAUUACACUUUGAUUGACUCUGAACUGUAUGGUUUAUGGUUAAAUGGAUAUAGUGCUCAAGAUGCAGCUCUUUUUCUUCAAAAAAGUGGUGUCCUGCAGAAGGCGGACGUUUCCAUGGAGAUAGUUUACAGUGACAUCCAGGACCAAUACAGGCUGUUCUUUGGUUUAGAGAAACUGCUACAGUCCCCACCAAAGUUAAUAGAUCAACAGAUAUAUCAAAUGGACACAGACAUGCAAAGACAAGUUAUCGAGAGGUACUACCAGUUUGAUUCAGUGGUGGUAAGAGAAAUACUAGGACGGAAACUAUCAUCUAGAAACAGAAAGGACAUGGAUGAUGUCAGCGAGAAAACCAGGAUUCCAAUUCGCAGCUGUAGGAGGCAGUUUGACAACUUAAAACGGGUCUUUAAAACUGUGGAAGAGAUGAUGGGGUCCUUGGUGGAAAAUAUCAAAACUCACUACCUUCUCUCAGAGGACCUAGCCAGGCAAUAUGCAGCCAUUGUGUUCAUAGCAAACAACAGAUUUGAAACAGGAAAGAAAAAACUGAGUCACUUGUCGUUCGAGGAUUUUGUUUUUUGUGCCAAUCAGAUGAUCACCAACUGGUCGUACAGUUCCGUCGAGUGCACGGUACAUGCAGAUAUGGACGUCGAUUUAGAUCGGGGAUUUCUCCAUGAUCUGAGAGAACUUAAAAUGAUAUCAGAGAAAGAGGUUCUGGAUGAACACAAAGGGUAAAACAGCAAUAUGUUUUUAUUUUUUACUAUUUGUACAUGUACAACAUUAAAACUUCGCUCCUUCAAGAAAUUUAUCAGCAAAUACCUUUGUUAUUGAUUAUGUGCAGAUCGUUUAGGGGGAGGGUUGUGGUCAAACUUAUUAAAUUUACAUAUUAGGAUUAAAUGUAUUAGAAAUAGAUCUAAAACACCCCCUCCCCCCAAAAAAUCCCUUUGAAUUGUUGACGCACACAUAUUGGUCUGCCAAUAUCUACAUACAUGUAUCUAUUGCUGUAGAUUCCCAAUUAAAUACGAGUGAUAUUAAAAUCUCCACAGAAAAAUUGCGAGAAGCAAUCCUCAUGGAUUUUAAUCUCCCUUUCAUUUUUCAAUCUGUUUUGAGCUAUAGGAAAUAACCAAAAAAACUGGUGACCCCGAUUUCAUAUUCUCGUGAUUUGAUACAAAACAGUGGAAUCGCGGAAUUAAAAAAGGAAUUUACAGUUACUGUAUCUCCUUGUGAAGGGACGAACCAUCACUGAUUGUGUGUAUAUUAUUGUGUUUCUGUGUUAGUAUGUUAGUGUACAAAAUAAUGUUGGUAGAAAAACAAUGCUACUUAGAAUCAUCAAACUUCUAAUCACCCGCAGAUAUUUUGGAUUGUUAAAAAAUAAACCCAUUUCAUUUCCAAGGCUGAUAAUGAAUUGUUUUUUGAGAUAAUUAAUGGGAACUUUACACAAUUUACUUGAAAAUGUUUGGAAAAAAAUAGGUUUGGCAACUGGGGGCUACAGACCUGCAGCUACCUAAAUGCAUGAAUGACUUAUAUUCAAGAAUGACUUCCUGUGGUGAGGGGAUGCUCCGCUUAGCGGUGACCGUAUUUCUUGAUUCAUCAAAGAAGAUGCCCCUGUUCAGCUGUCAGUGAUAUAUAUUAUAUGCUCAGCUCUAGUACUCCCACAGACAAAACAGACACAAAUUACUGUGGCUGAGAAACUGAGUGAAAUUUUUUUCUUCAAUCCAUAGGCAAGUUAUCAGUCAUUUAAAGCCAUCGUUGACAAAGAAAUCACGACAGGUGCUUGAGGAAUCCUUCAAGAAUAACUCUAAAGCAAUAAUAAACAUUGCCUGUGGUCUCAAUCAUAGCAAAGAUGUCCGAGACAUUUUUGUGGAUUUAGUAGAGAAGGUGACGGAGCCCUGUAUGUCAGCAGGGCUGUCUGGAUCGGACAUGGAGGCUUUCCUCAACGCCUACAAAGACACGAUCGUCAGAAUGGAUGUGUUCAGACUUCAGCCUCACAUGCUUGCUGUGUGGGACAGGUACAUGAAGACACUCAAACUCUGUGUCCUACAGAUCUACCACACCUGAGAUAGAACAUUCACCUGUAACUCAGGUAAACACUCUGUGACGAACUGAAAGUGAUGAUUGCAAAAAAUGUGACCUUAAAUAUGUGGAGUUUGAUAAGUACAUGACAAAGUGUUCAUAAGAAGUUGUCAAACUCUGGAAUAAAGUGGCUAUUGAUCCAUCGCUGUUGAAAGGAUACGCAUGUAUGAAGGCAGACAAAAUAUCAUCGUCGGAUGACAAAAUAUAUACAGAAACAAACCUCGUUAGCAAGCUUUAUUCUGUUAUAAAGACUGUUUGAUAUACAUGUACAUGUACAAGAUUGAUGUAACAAUAAAGAAUCAAAGCUC